UACGUAGGUGGCAAGCGUUGUCCGGAAUUACUGGGCGUAAAGCGUGCGCAGGCGGUUUUGUAAGUCUGUCGUGAAAUCCCCGGGCUUAACCUGGGAAUGGCGAUGGAGACUGCAAGGCUAGAGUUUGGCAGAGGGGGGUAGAAUUCCACGUGUAGCAGUGAAAUGCGUAGAGAUGUGGAGGAACACCGAUGGCGAAGGCAGCCCCCUGGGUCAAAACUGACGCUCAUGCACGAAAGCGUGGGGAGCAAACAGG
rnacentral:rRNA from 1 species